rnacentral:misc_RNA from 1 species
AAGCUGCGAUAAGUAAUGUGAAUUGCAGAACUCAGUGAAUCAUCGAGUCUUUGAACGCACAUUGCGCCCGCCAGUAUUCUGGCGGGCAUGCCUGUUCGAGCGUCAUUACAACCCUCAGGCCCCCGGGCCUGGCGUUGGGGAUCGGCGGAAGCCCCCUGCGGGCACAACGCCGUCCCCCAAAUACAGUGGCGGUCCCGCCGCAGCUUCCAUUGCGUAGUAGCUAACACCUCGCAACUGGAGAGCGGCGCGGCCACGCCGUAAAACACCCAACUUCUGAAUGUUGACCUCGAAUCAGGUAGGAAUACCCGCUGAACUUAAGC